rnacentral:rRNA from 1 species
UACGGAGGGUGCAAACGUUGCUCGGAAUCAUUGGGCGUAAAGCGCGCGUAGGCGGCCAGUUAAGUUGGAUGUGAAAGCCCUCGGCUCAACCGAGGAAGUGCAUUCAAAACUGACUGGCUUGAAUCUCGGAGGGGGUCAGAGAAUUCCUGGUGUAGAGGUGAAAUUCGUAGAUAUCAGGAGGAAUACCGGUGGCGAAGGCG